rnacentral:rRNA from 1 species
UGCAGUCGAGCGGAGAGAGGUAGCUUGCUACUGAUCUUAGCGGCGGACGGGUGAGUAAUGCUUAGGAAUCUGCCUAUUAGUGGGGGACAACAUUUCGAAAGGAAUGCUAAUACCGCAUACGUCCUACGGGAGAAAGCAGGGGAUCUUCGGACCUUGCGCUAAUAGAUGAGCCUAAGUCGGAUUAGCUAGUUGGUGGGGUAAAGGCCUACCAAGGCGACGAUCUGUAGCGGGUCUGAGAGGAUGAUCCGCCACACUGGGACUGAGACACGGCCCAGACUCCUACGGGAGGCAGCAGUGGGGAAUAUUGGACAAUGGGCGCAAGCCUGAUCCAGCCAUGCCGCGUGUGUGAAGAAGGCCUUAUGGUUGUAAAGCACUUUAAGCGAGGAGGAGGCUACUUUAGUUAAUACCUAGAGAUAGUGGACGUUACUCGCAGAAUAAGCACCGGCUAACUCUGUGCCAGCAGCCGCGGUAAUACAGAGGGUGCAAGCGUUAAUCGGAUUUACUGGGCGUAAAGCGCGCGUAGGCGGCUAAUUAAGUCAAAUGUGAAAUCCCCGAGCUUAACUUGGGAAUUGCAUUCGAUACUGGUUAGCUAGAGUGUGGGAGAGGAUGGUAGAAUUCCAGGUGUAGCGGUGAAAUGCGUAGAGAUCUGGAGGAAUACCGAUGGCGAAGGCAGCCAUCUGGCCUAACACUGACGCUGAGGUGCGAAAGCAUGGGGAGCAAACAGGAUUAGAUACCCUGGUAGUCCAUGCCGUAAACGAUGUCUACUAGCCGUUGGGGCCUUUGAGCUUUAGUGGCGCAGCUAACGCGAUAAGUAGACCGCCUGGGGAGUACGGUCGCAAGACUAAAACUCAAAUG